CCUACGGGAUGCAGCAGUGAGGAAUAUUGCGCAAUGGGGGCAACCCUGACGCAGCAACGCCGCGUGAGUGAGGAAGGUUUUCGGACUGUAAAGCUCUGUCGAGCGGGAAGAAAUGCCUGAUGGCUAAUAUCCAUCAUGCUUGACGGUACCGCUAGAGGAAGCACCGGCUAACUCCGUGCCAGCAGCCGCGGUAAUACGGGGGGUGCAAGCGUUGUUCGGAAUCAUUGGGCGUAAAGAGCGUGUAGGCGGCUGGAUAAGUCAGAUGUGAAAGCCCUGGGCUUAACCCAGGAAGUGCAUUUGAAACUAUUCAGCUGGAGUAAGGGAGAGGAAAGUGGAAUUCCUGGUGUAGAGGUGAAAUUCGUAGAUAUCAGGAGGAACACCGGCGGCGAAGGCGACUUUCUGGCCCUAUACUGACGCUGAGACGCGAGAGCGUGGGUAGCAAACAGGAUUAGAUACCCUAGUAGUC
rnacentral:rRNA from 1 species